rnacentral:tRNA from 1 species
GCCGCGCGCGUGGCGCGCCCGGCCAGCGUCGGCAGCGCUUCGGCGUUGGGCGUCUUGAAGUUGAAGGCGCUGGUCAGGUCGCCGCAGACCGCGCGGCG